rnacentral:rRNA from 1 species
AAUGAACGCUGGCGGCCGGCCUAACACAUGCAAGUCGAACGAGUGGCGGCCGUGUGAGUAAUGUCUGGGAAACUGCUUGAUGGAGGGGGAUAACUACUGGAAACGGUAGUUAAUACCGCAUACAUUUGGCUGUGCCAAGAGGGGAUUAGCUAGUAGGUGGGGUAAAGGCUAACAGAGGCGACGAUCCCUAGCUGGUCUGAGAGGAUGACCAGCCAAACUGGAACUGAGACACGGUCCAGACUCCUACGGGAGGCAGCAGUGGGGAAGAUUGCACAAUGGGCGCAAUCCUGAUGCAGCCAUGCCGCGUGUAUGAAGAAGGCCUUCGGGUUGUAAAGUACUGUCAGCGGGGAGGCGUUACCCACAGAAGAAGCACCGGCUAACUCCGUGCCAGCCGCCGCGGUAAUUC